rnacentral:rRNA from 1 species
AACGAACGUUGGCGGCGUGGAUGAGGCAUGCAAGUCGAACGUGAAAGCCGCAAGGCGAGUAAAGUGGCGGACGGGCGAGUAACACGUAAUCAAGCUGCCUGCGAGACGGGGAUAACCUCGGGAAACCGAGGCUAAGACCCGAUGGUCUCCGAGGAUCGCAUGGUCUUUGGAGUAAAUGGGCGGGAUCCUUCGGGAUCGCCUGCUCGCAGAGGUGAUUGCGGCCCAUCAGCUAGUUGGUAGGGUAAUGGCCUACCAAGGCAACGACGGGUAGCCGGCCUUAGAGGGUGGUCGGCCGCACUGGGACUGAGACACUGCCCAGACUCCUACGGGAGGCUGCAGUCGAGAAUCUUCCGCAAUGGGCGAAAGCCUGACGGAGCGACGCCGCGUGGAGGAUGAAGGCCUUCGGGUUGUAAACUCCUGUCACGAGUUAAGAAGGGAAUGCAGCGAACAGCUGUAGAUCUUGACGUAAGCUCGAGAGGAAGCACUGGCUAACUCUGUG